CGAAACUGCUGGCCUUGUACCAAAAUUGGAAACCAAUAAUAUGUUAAGGGAAGACGGCCAGCUAGCAACCGGGGAAAUGCUAAGCGGCACUUCACUCACCCGUCAUUAUGUUCUGAGUUCAAAUCCCGCCGAUAUCGACUUUGCCUUUCAUCCUUUCGAUGCCGAUAAAAUAAGUACCAGUUGAGCGCUGGCGAGUCAAUGUAAUGGACUUACCUUUUCCCCCAAGCUUGCUGGCCUUGUGCCAAACUGGGAAACCAACAGUAUGUUAAGGAGCGGUUGGAAUUCGCUUGACAUCUGCUUGCUUUCGGAUAUCCUAUUGCACAACACUUUGAACAAAUACUUUCUCCCAUUGUUUCAAGUAGCCUAAACUCUUGUCAACGAAAUUUAGUAAAUGGAAAUUAUCUGGAAGCCCAUCGAAAGAGUUUUCCUUUUCCCCGUGUGUUAUAUUCAAUCAUUCGUCCGAUUUAACACCACCACCACCACCAGCAUACUCUAUUCUGGUGUAAUCAUCAGCUAGUUUCCAGUCCGAAUAUAAUUUCCAUUCUCACCAACAUCAGAGACAACGAAAAGAAUAACGGGCAUUGCACUUUUGGCUGAACCGUUAAAUAUCUAACCGAUAAAACGCUGGGAUUUGCAUUUACAUAGCAUGGACUCCUGAGCACAUUUCAUGAAAAUGAGACUACCAUGCACACAUAAAAAAAAAAUAGUUAAAAUAUCUUCUCAGUAUAUAAUGGUGGCAAGUUUGAGUGACAUGAGACCCCAACAAACGCCCAUAAGUUAAAUGCAUCUAUUUGGGCCACCAUCGUGGCCUGUCGACCUGUGUCGAACGGCUACGAUCGUGGCCCAUCGCGCUUUAUGUGUUAAUUUCAAACAAUCAAACGUUGAACGAAAUCAAUGUUCAUGAAUAAAAAAAGAAAAAACACUUUAUAAUAACGAAAUUCAAACCAAGUAGAUUAAGGCGUACAUGAAAUAUAUGCUGAAGGAAAGAAUAUUUCCGGGACAAAAGUUGUUAUCUGUCGAGUAGACGAGAGGAAAUCAGAUUUCAUUACAAGAGAGUAACACACUCAAUUAAAAGUCUCAGUAAAUAAAGAGGAGAGAAUAUACGACAUAAAAUUGAAAAUAUAUUACAACAAAAGUUUUUUUUAAGAUAGGCACAAGGCCUGAAAUUUUGGGGAAGGAACUUAAUCAAUUGCAUCGACCCUAGUGCUCAUCUGGCACUGAUUUUGUCGACCCUGGAGGAAUUUGAACUCAGAGCGUAACGGCAGACGAAAUACCGCUAAACAUUUCGCCCAAUGUACCAAUGAUUCUUCCAGCUCGCCGCCUUAGCAGCAAUAAUAAUAAUAAUAAUAAAUUGCCCGGAUGCAGUACCAGGCAGUGGCUCUCAUGGCUUCUGAUCUUAAUUGAUUGGAAGUGUUAUGUACAUUGUUUUGUCUUGGUAUAAAAAGAUGGGCUACAGCAAAUAUUCUGGUUAAUACCACAGAUUUGCUUGUCAGUUGUUUGAUCUUAACCAAUUGAGCUUGUCCCUUGGUGGCUGACGAUAUAUGCAUCUCUGAUCAUGAGCAGAAGUAGUGGGGGAGCAUCAUAGCCAUGUGUUGAGAGGAGUUCUUUGCGGUUUGAAUAAUUCACCUCUGGAAACAUGGGUGUUUUGCUCAACAUCCUUAAACAACCCUUAUUCAGGGACCUUUUGAACGGAAUGGGCUACUCGACCUGAAGAAAAUUCUAACUGGGCCCCACCUGCGAGGUCAUGCGCUGUUUAUCAUGAUAUGAGAUCACCAUGUCAUGCACAUAUGGUUGUGAUGCAUGUGCCUGAUGUACUCUUAUCAGACGGGUAGUCAUGAUGGGUGUAUUGGGUUUCGUAUAUUUUACCCCAGUGUCACUUUGAUGGUAUGCACUGCUCUCUCACUCAAUAAUAAUAAUAAUAAUAAUAAUAAUAAUAACCUUUUCUAGUGGAAGCACAAGGCCUCAUAUUUGGGGGAAGGGACUGAGUCGAUUACAUCGACCCCAGUGCAUAGACGAUACUUAUUUGAAAGGAUGAAAGGCAAUCUCGACCUCGGCGGAAAAAAAAAAAAAAAAAUCUCUCUUGAGUACGAAAUAACCCGGCUAUGGAAAAUGAAGAGGGUGAAGAUAGUGCCAAUUAUUGUUGGGUCCUUGGGAUCAGUAUCAGAAGGCAUCAAGAGGAAUAUAAAGGAAAUUGGAACAGUGUACCCGGUAGAACUGUUACAGAAAUGGUUUGCCUCCUUGGCACGGCCAGAAUAAUCAGGAAAAUAUUAGUUAGUUGAAAAGAACGGAUAGCAUGGUACCGUAGGUUGCAGGCAGCAAGCCCGCUAUGCAUGCAAGACUCCAAGAGUUCCAACAAAACCUAAGAUAAAAAGAAAAAAAAAUUAGUUCAAAUCUAAGGACACUGGACUGGCAGAAUCGUUAUAAUGUUAGAUAAAUAUACCUUGCGGUAUUUCGCGUGGUUCUUUACAUUCUGGGUUCAAAUCACACCGAAGUCAUGUUUGUUUUUCAUCCUACUAAGAUUGAUAAAAAAUACCAAUCAAGCACUGGGGUAUGUGAUAUCGACAAAGCCCACCCCCUCGCAAAAUGCUGGCUUUGUAAUCUACAUUAAAAAUGAUUCGGAUCGAAUACUGGCGGUAUUUGUUUCGACUCUGUACAUUCUGAGUUCGAAUCCCAGGCUAAGGUCAUCUUUGACCCCCCCCCCAUCCUUUAAAGAUCAAUAAUCUUUUCUACUCUAGGCACAAAGCCUGAAAUUUUGGGGGAGGCAGCCAGUCGUUAAAUCGACCCCAGUACGCAACUGGUACUUAAUUUAUCGACCCCCGAAAGGAUGAAAGGCAAAGUCGAUCUCGGCGCAAUUUGAACUCAGAACGUAAAGGCAGACGAAAUACCGCGAAGCAUUUCGCUCAGCGUGCUAACGCUUCUUAUUUUUUUAUUGCCCAGAAGGGGCUGAACAUAGAGGGGACAAACAAGGACAGACAAAGGGAUUAAGUCGAUUACAUCGACCCCAGUGCGUAACUGGUACUUAAUUCAUCGAUACAGAAAGGAUGAAAGGCAAAGUCGACCUCGGCGGAAUUUGAACUCAGAACGUAACAGCAGACGAAAUACCAAUUUCAAUUUCUUUCUUACCCACCGGGGGCUAAACAAAGAAUGGGACAAAACAACUAAUUGGGGUCAGUAACACGUUAUGAUAUUACAUAAAUAUGAUAUAAAAAUUAUAUAAAAUAUAUAAGAAUCGAAUGAAAUACACAAUACGAAUAUGACACAAAUGCAGCAACGGUCAGGUCACGCUCUGACCCCAUAAGGCCCAAUCUAUCGCUGGUACUUCUUUCUAUAUAUAUAAAUGCGUACAUAUACAAACAUACAUGCAUGUAUACAUACAUUCACACACACAUUGUUCGUAUAUAUUUUUUGAAGCAAUCAAUGUCUUACUGUUUAUUGGGUUAAUAAGUUAUGUGUGGCCGAAUGCUGCGUAAACAAGUUGUUAACCUUCAUUUCAAACGUUUAACUUCUUGAAAACAGUGUACAAAUGGUGUUUGUUAAGAGUCGCUGUAAGCACACACAGACACACACACACACACAAGUUCCGUUGCAAGCCCCACCUCCAACAAGUAUUGCGAUAUAUAAAAGAAGAACGUCAGAGAAACACUUGACAGAACAGAUUUGCCGAGGUUAAGCGAACAUUAAACUGUAAAAAGUAAACAACGACUUUCCACUCGUUCCUUGCUGCUAUUAAUUCUAUCGGCGUCAAGAAUCGGUAAAGUUGAUGAUGACUGAUUUCUUUGUGGCGAACUACAUGGACGAAUACGACGUAAUGAGCAUGUACCGUGACCAAUACAUCCAUGUUGGCCACAGUGGUAAAGGUCGAUCAAAGAAAGAAGCCAGAGAACAUACCAACAGACAUGAUCCUAAUGGCCAUAACCGCAAAACCUUACAGAAACUCAUGAAUAACAGUUAUAAGAACAGAGCACGAUCGAAUGCCAAGUAAGUCUUAUAGAUUUCAUUUAAAUAUCGAUCUUUUUAUUGCGAAUCUGUUAUGGAAUUAACAAUAAUUGAAAUAAGACAUAACUGAAAUAAUUAGCUGCAGUUCUAUGUAAGAAAAAGAUAGCUAUGGCUAUAUUCUAAAAUAUCUAAACUAUAAUAUAUGCAGUUAUUUCACAUGCUAAGAAAAAUAGUACUUUAAUUCCCUUAUACCACACCCUCCUGAAUUAAAAGGGAGAGACACACUGGGCCU